rnacentral:misc_RNA from 1 species
GCACAACUAAGUAUCGAAUUUGAAUAGAGGAAAGUGCAAAGUAACCCUUAUUUUAGUUCUGACCUUCAGCUUCUAACCUGCUGGUCUGUCCGGUCCUUCGGACUCUGCUAAUUGUCAUUAGAAAGGUAAUGAAUUGAAUGUUUGAAUCAGGUAGAAUAGAAACAAGUAUACUUGAAAGAACAAGAUCACACUACAUGUUUUAAAAUUGCUCUGGAUUGAACACGAGCAUAAGUUUGAAAUACGAAACCAAGAAGUCGCAAGUAU